CCUACGUGUGGCAGCAGUGGGGAAUAUUGGGCAAUGGAGGAAACUCUGACCCAGCAACGCCGCGUGAAUGAUGAAGGUCUUCGGAUUGUAAAGUUCUUUUCUAAGGGAAGAAGAAAGUGACGGUACCUUACGAAUAAGCCUCGGCGAACUACGUGCCAGCAGCCGCGGUAAGACGUAGGAGGCAAGCGUUAUCAGGAUUGACUGGGCGUAAAGGGUGCGUAGGUGGUUGAGUAAGUUGGUAGCGUAACCCCGAGGCCCAACCUCGGCACUGCUGCCGAAACUGUCAGACUUGAGUGCAGGAGGGGCAUGUGGAAUGCGUGGUGUAGCGGUGGAAUGCGUAGAUAUUAGGAAGAACACCGGUGGCGAAGGCGGGUUGCUGGACUGUAACUGACACUGAGGCACGAAAGCGUGGGGAGCAAACAGGAUUAGAUACCCCGGUAGUC
rnacentral:rRNA from 1 species